UUCAACGCGUUCGGAACCGUUACAUUCAUCAUGGGAACUAUUUAUUAAUUAUUAUAGAGUAAUAAUUCUAUCUGGCGUUGCGCAUAAACAAUUUGUUUUCUCGCUGCAAAUAUGAAUAAAAAUGAAUUGUAUCGUAAAAAGAAACAGGUUAUAAAAUUACUUCUACGAAUCCCAUGCAAUUCAAUAUAAAAUUAAAUAACAUUUUUAUUAACCAGUUUAGAGGUUCUUUCUUCAACAUCAACAUAAUAACGAAUGAGUUGAUUUUAUCAUUUCGUAUGUAACGUGAAGAGAGUUCACCUUAAGACCUUAAGACGCCAUAAUUUAUUUUCUGAUAUAUAUAUGAUUGCAGAUAUGCUUUUAUACUUUAGGGCGUUCGAUUGGGCGGAAAUCAAAAAAAAACCGGAAAAAUUUAAAAGCGUUACUUACCGGCCAUAAAAAUUGAAUUAGCUCGUACCACUAUCGGUGGUUAUUCCAUAUUCGAUUCAAGCCAGGAAAAAAAAAAAAUUUGCUUUCUUAUUAUUAUUUUCCUUUUUUUCUCGAAAUUCUCAACGGGAAAUAAAACUAUUUACGUUUGAUCAGUUUGGAUUUGUGUGGAUGUGUUUUUCUUUUUUUGUUUCUAAUAUAAAUAACGACAUAAACUGCGAAGACAUCAACAUUUUAAUCGAGAGUUCAUCAAGUGCAAUAUGAAAUUAUUUUCUGUUCUGGCCGCUGUAUUAGCCCUUGUAGCUGUAGCUAUGGGUUCUCCGAAUCCUAAUCCUCAUCCUCUACCGCAAGGCGGUGGUGGUGGCGGCGGCGGCGGUGGCAAGUGAAUUCACUUCAGCGCUAACUAAAUUCACUUAUUUUGUUAAUGCACGCCAAUUUUAUACUCAUUCAAUAAAUAAUUGAAAUACUUAGAAAAGUCCUACAUA